GCAAUUAAUGCAAAAACAACCAAUUGGAAAGCAAGAUUCAUGCUUUUAAUCCUCCAAGCUAUCAACAAAUGAACUAUAUACCAUUUGAUACCUCUAUCGGCCAAAAAAUAUUAAUUGUGAUAAAAUAUGUCAUCAAGGGAUUUUACUUUAUCAUGAAUCCAUUGAUUCUAUAUGACUUAUUACUACUCCCCCUUUCGCACUUUAUUCGUACAUGGAGUGGGGUCGGGGGGAAUGAAAUUUUAUUUUUAUUUCACAAAUGGGCAUGCUAGAUCAUAUAUCUAUAUACGGAUAGAUAGAUCGACCUGUGGAUUCCCACCUGAGAUUUUCCUACAGAUAGUGGGGGUAUCCACUCCUAUGGCCAUGUUCUAUUCGGAGGAAUAAAAUAAAAAUAGUCUUUCGGAGAGAUGGCU
rnacentral:lncRNA from 1 species